rnacentral:rRNA from 1 species
AUUGAACGCUGGCGGCAUGCUUUACACAUGCAAGUCGAACGGUAACAGCACUUCGGUGGCUGACGAGUGGCGAACGGGUGAGUAAUGUAUCGGAACGUGCCCAGUAGUGGGGGAUAACUACUCGAAAGAGUGGCUAAUACCGCAUGAGAUCUCUGGAUGAAGGCGGGGGACCGUAAGGCCUCGCGCUACUGGAGCGGCCGAUAUCAGAUUAGGUUGUUGGUGGGGUAAAGGCCUACCAAGCCUGCGAUCUGUAGCUGGUCUGAGAGGACGACCAGCCACACUGGGACUGAGACACGGCCCAGACUCCUACGGGAGGCAGCAGUGGGGAAUUUUGGACAAUGGACGCAAGUCUGAUCCAGCAAUGCCGCGUGCAGGACGAAGGCCUUCGGGUUGUAAACUGCUUUUGUACGGAACGAAAAGCCUUCUUCUAAUACAGGAGGGUCAUGACGGUACCGUAAGAAUAAGCACCGGCUAACUACGUG